GACGAACGCUGGCGGCGUGCUUAACACAUGCAAGUCGAACGGAAAGGCCCUGCUUUUGUGGGGUGCUCGAGUGGCGAACGGGUGAGUAACACGUGAGUAACCUGCCCUUGACUUUGGGAUAACUUCAGGAAACUGGGGCUAAUACCGGAUAGGAGCUCCUGCUGCAUGGUGGGGGUUGGAAAGUUUCGGCGGUUGGGGAUGGACUCGCGGCUUAUCAGCUUGUUGGUGAGGUAGUGGCUUACCAAGGCUUUGACGGGUAGCCGGCCUGAGAGGGUGACCGGCCACAUUGGGACUGAGAUACGGCCCAGAAUCCUACGGGAGGCAGCAGUGGAGAAUAUUGCACAAUGGGCGGAAGCCUGAUGAAGCAACGCCGCGUGCGGGAUGACGGCCUUCGGGUUGUAAACCGCUUUCGACUGUGACGAAGCCUGAGUGACGGUAAUGGGUAAAGAAGCACCGGCUAACUACGUG
rnacentral:rRNA from 1 species